rnacentral:rRNA from 1 species
AAUUGGAGGGCAAGUCUGGUGCCAGCAGCCGCGGUAAUUCCAGCUCCAAUAGCGUAUAUUAAAGUUGUUGCAGUUAAAAAGCUCGUAGUUGAACUUCGGGGUUUACCCAUUGGUCAGGCUUAAUUGUCUGUACUGGUGAGAUAAAUCUCUACCUUCUGAGGAACUUUCAUGCCAUUCAGUUGGUGUGAUGGGAAAUCAGGACUAUUACUUUGAAAAAAUUAGAGUGUUUAAAGCAGGCUAAAGUCUGAAUACAUUAGCAUGGAAUAAUGAAAUAGGACGGAUUGAUUCUAUUUCGUUGGUUUCUAGGAUCACCGUAAUGAUUAAUAGGGAUAGUUGGGGGCAUUAGUAUUCAAUUGUCAGAGGCGAAAUUCUUGGAUUUAUUGAAGACUAACUACUGCGAAAGCAUUUGCCAAGGAUGUUUUCAUUAAUCAAGAACGAAAGUUAGGGGAUCGAAGACGAUCAGAUACCGUCGUAGUCUUAACCAUAAACUAUGCCGACUAGGGAUCGGACGAAGUUAAUUUUAUAAUGACGCGUUCGGCACCUUACGGGAAACCAAAGUGU